rnacentral:lncRNA from 1 species
UAGAGCAUACCAUGUAAAGCCAGAUUAAUUUGUAGAAGCAAUAGUCUUAAUUAUGCAUGCGUGUGUCAUGUACAGUGCCUCUGUGGGCGUGUGAUAGAAAGAGCAAGAGAAUACAGCUCUCAGAGAGAGAUCUGUAGGAUGUUCUUCCUAAAACUCAGCAUGUACACGUCAUUCUUAUGCAUAAGUAAUAUAUUCUUGUACAUGCAUGUCUUACGCGUGUAUGUGUGCAUAUUUGUGUGUGCGUGAGAGAGAGAGUGAGAGAGA